rnacentral:rRNA from 1 species
ACGGCGAGUGAAGCGGGAAAAGCUCAAUUUUAAAAUCUCGCGGGUUUCCCGUGCGAAUUGNGGUUUAAAGAAGCGUUUUCAGGGAGUCGCAUGGAUGUAAGUCCUUUGGAAUGGGGCGUCAUAGAGGGUGAGAAUCCCGUCUGUCAUUCAUGCAAUUUUCCUACUUGAUACGUCUUCGAAGAGUCGGAUAGCUUGGGAAUGCUGUCCAAAAUGGGUGGUAAAUACCAUCUAAAGCUAAAUAUUGGCGUGAGACCGAUAGCGAACAAGUACUGUGAGGGAAAGAUGAAAAGAACUUUGAAAAGAGAGUUAAACAGUACGUGAAAUUGUCAAAAGGGAAACGCUUGAAACCAGUGUCGAGUGGCACAGAUCAACCGGUUAAGCCCGGCGCACUCUGUGUCAUUUGGGUCAGCAUCGGUUUGACCAUGGAUUAAAUGCUUUGGGAGGGUGCUUGCAUCAGCCUUUAAGAGAUGUCCAGGGUUGGACCGAGGAACGAAGUGGAAACGUGAAGUUGAGCGGCGCGCGACUUUUUUGGUGGUUAUCAACUUGUUGAUUACUGCCAUGACUGUUGUACCUUGACUUGAUUGUCUGUUCUUACUUAGGAUGCUGACAAAAUGGUUUUAAACGACC